AUUGAACGCUGGCGGCAGGCUUAACACAUGCAAGUCGAGCGAGCGGCGGACGGGUGAGUAAUGUCUGGGAAACUGCCUGAUGGAGGGGGAUAACUACUGGAAACGGUAGCUAAUACCGCAUACCAUCAGAUGAACCCAGAUGGGAUUAGCUAGUAGGUGGGGUAAAGGCUCACCUAGGCGACGAUCCCUAGCUGGUCUGAGCGGAUGACCAGCCACACGGGUACUGAGACACGGCCCAGACUCCUACGGGAGGCAGCAGUGGGGAAUAUUGCACAAUGGGCGGAAGCCUGAUGCAGCCACGCCGCGUGUGUGAAGAAGGCCUUCGGGUUGUAAAGCACUUUCAGCGAGGAGGCGGUACUCACCGAAGAAGCCCCGGCUAACUACGUGCCAGCAGCCGCGGUAAUAC
rnacentral:rRNA from 1 species